rnacentral:lncRNA from 1 species
CUACCCCCUGCGCUCCCAGCGGGCAUUAGCCAGCGUGAACGCCGGGGCCUGGCACCCCUUCCCUUCCGCGUGUGCGCGCACACGCACUCCAGCCUGACACAGUACACACCCCGACACACGCACACAAACCGACACUCCAGCUAGUGUGGACACCGGGGCCUGGCACAGCCAUACACACACUCCAGCCGGACACCCCCCUACACACAUACACUCCAGCUAGUGUGGGCGCCAGGACUGGCACAGCCAUACACACACUGCAGCCUAACACCCCCCUACACCCCACCCCCUACACUCCAGCUAGUGUGGACGCCUAACCCGCACCCAGACCCACUCCCACUAAGAGCCCCGCGGAGAAGCCCAUGAAGAGGCGGGCGCGGCGGGGGAGCACCCCGUGGGUCCUGCUCGGGACAGGAUCCGGCUCCCAGGGAGCCGCGUGGGAGCGGGAACAGGCGCGGGGAGCGGGCGCUGCCCCUCCGGGAGCCGCUCCCCGGAGCCGCUGCCUGGAAGCAGCGCCUGAAACUUUCAUCCCAGGCAGGGAAGUUCCUCUACAGAAAGCAAAGGAAAAGUUGUGGUAUGGUGAGCCGGAAGAGCCCCUCCGCCCCCUCUGCUGACUGCAAAGAAAAGCUCUUCUGUUUGUAUAACCCCCCCCCCCCCCGUUAAAAAAGCAGCACAUCACGAUUAACUAAAACUGCCCGGGAUAACCCUAAUUUCCAUAUGCAGAUUUAUCUGCACUGACAGCCCCCUCUCCCUCUCCCUCGGUCUCUGUGUUUCCCUCGGUCUUGCUCUUUCUCUCUAUUUGCAUUGUGUCUGCCUGAUUUUUCUGGCUCCUCUUUUUCUUGCUUUCUCUUUCUCUCCCUCUUGCACGCACAGGCUGAAAUAACUAGACGAAGCCGCGAGACGGAUGCUGCAGUCACUGUCUUUUAGGAGCGGUUGGGGGGGGGGGGAUCCAGGAAACCUUCUCAUUGCUAAACCGCCUCAUCCUUUCCAGCCCGGCUUGGGGAUCCAACUUCCCCAGGUUGGCUGGGGAUGGGAAAGGGACAGACGUGGAAGAGGAGAGCACUUUGCAACAGCUGCAGCCAGCGGUGCUCGUCGCCAGAUGUGCGGGGGGGUGGGCAUGAAAAGGCAGCACAGGAAAAAUAUUAGGAGACAAAAGCGGCAGCCUCAAGGAUCAUUUGCUUUAUUUAAUAUGGCAGCAGGCGGCGGGUGUGGGGGAAGAUCAACAUGCUGCCUGUUCAGCCGGACUCCUCUCCCGGCGAGGAUGAAAGGAGGUGAUCCCGUGCCAGAGGGACCUGAGUUAAACAGUUGUCUCAGGAUGAUGCUACAGUAUGGUAUGCUCUGUUGCUGAAGACCAGGUAAAAUCUUCUAAGUUUAUACUUGGGAGAGGGUUUUAAGCUCUUUCCCUGCAUCCCAGAAAUUGAGGUUAAAAAUGUCUCCUUUGCAUAAUUUAAGCCAGCUAAACAUUUCUCUUUGUCCCCUGCCUAGGGAUGUUUGCUGUCAUGUCCUUCCUGGAACAGAUAACAGUGGAGUAGGGCUGUGCAAAAUUUAUCCGGGUGUUUCAUUUUAACGCUGGUUCAAUUCAUUUUGAGCUUGAAACAGUGCAGUCUAAAUAGGACAAAAGGCUUUAAAACAGCCUUGAAACAAAACAAG